AUACGGAGGGUGCAAGCGUUACUCGGAAUCACUGGGCGUAAAGCGCGCGCAGGCGGCUAUUUAAGUUGGAUGUGAAAGCCUACGGCUCAACCGUAGAACUGCAUCCAAAACUAUUUAGCUAGAGUGUGGGAGAGGAAGAUGGAAUUAGUUGUGUAGGGGUAAAAUCCGUAGAGAUAACUAGGAAUACCAAAAGCGAAGGCAAUCUUCUGGAACACUACUGACGCUGAGGCGCGAAAGCGAGGGGAGCAAACGGGAUUAGAAACCCUAGUAGUCC
rnacentral:rRNA from 1 species